AGGUAAAACUAUUUCAAAAGCGAGACUAGUUCUGAGUAUGAAAGUUAAAUGUGGGUGUGAGGGAGGAUAGCAAUAUUAAAAAAGUGUAGUAAUCAUAUAUGACUCUGCAUUUCAUGUAAAACACUGCACACUAAACAUUUGUGGUUUUCUUUCCACAGGAAGGAACUUGCACAAGCUUUGAAUAUUCCUGAAGUCAAAGUGAAGACAUGGUUUGUCCAUCGGAGAGCAGAAGAGAGGAAGAGAGAGAGGUCUGUCGUAUUACAGAGCAUACCUCCUCGUAUUGAAAAAGUGAUUCUCCUUAGGGAAAGGGAAGGCAAUCCCCAGAGUGCAAUCUAUGUUCAGGAGCAAGAUGGAAAUUUGGUGACACCUGUACUCAAUGUACAGCUUAACUAAAAUUCAACACUCAUGUUAACAAUAAAAUCAUGAAUUUCCAAGUUA